rnacentral:rRNA from 1 species
AGUGAACGCUGGCGGCAGGCCUAACACAUGCAAGUCGAACGGCAGCACAGAGGAGCUUGCUCCUUGGGCGGCGAGUGGCGGACGGGUGAGGAAUACAUCGGAAUCUGCCUUAUCGUGGGGGAUAACGUAGGGAAACUUACGCUAAUACCGCAUACGACCUACGGGUGAAAGCGGGGGAUCGCAAGACCUCGCGCGAUAAGAUGAGCCGAUGUCGGAUUAGCUAGUUGGCGGGGUAAAGGCCCACCAAGGCGACGAUCCGUAGCUGGUCUGAGAGGAUGAUCAGCCACACUGGAACUGAGACACGGUCCAGACUCCUACGGGAGGCAGCAGUGGGGAAUAUUGGACAAUGGGCGCAAGCCUGAUCCAGCCAUGCCGCGUGGGUGAAGAAGGCCUUCGGGUUGUAAAGCCCUUUUGUCCGGAAAGAAAAGCACUGGAUUAAUACUUCGGUGUUCUGACGGUACCGGAAGAAUAAGCACCGGCUAACUUCGUGCCAGCCGCCGCCGUAA